AUUGAACGCUGGCGGCAGGCCUAACACAUGCAAGUCGGACGGUAGCACAGAGGAGCUUGCUCCUCGGGUGACGAGUGGCGGACGGGUGAGUAAUGUCUGGGGAUCUGCCCGAUAGAGGGGGAUAACCACUGGAAACGGUGGCUAAUACCGCAUAACGUCGCAAGACCAAAGAGGGGGACCUUCGGGCCUCUCACUAUCGGAUGAACCCAGAUGGGAUUAGCUAGUAGGCGGGGUAACGGCCCACCUAGGCGACGAUCCCUAGCUGGUCUGAGAGGAUGACCAGCCACACUGGAACUGAGACACGGUCCAGACUCCUACGGGAGGCAGCAGUGGGGAAUAUUGCACAAUGGGCGCAAGCCUGAUGCAGCCAUGCCGCGUGUAUGAAGAAGGCCUUCGGGUUGUAAAGUACUUUCAGCGGGGAGGAAGGCGAUGUGGUUAAUAACCGCGUCGAUUGACGUUACCCGCAGAAGAAGCACCGGCUAACUCCGUGCCAGCCGCCGCCGUAA
rnacentral:rRNA from 1 species